rnacentral:rRNA from 1 species
GACGAACGCUGGCGGCGUGCUUAACACAUGCAAGUCGAGCGGUAAGGCCCCUUUGGGGGUACACGAGCGGCGAACGGGUGAGUAACACGUGGGUGACCUGCCCUCAGCUCUGGGAUAAGCCUGGGAAACUGGGUCUAAUACCGGAUAUGACUCCAUGACGCAUGUUGUGGGGUGGAAAGCCUUGUGCGGCUGGGGAUGGGCCCGCGGCCUAUCAGCUUGUUGGUGGGGNGAUGGCCUACCAAGGCGACGACGGGUAGCCGGCCUGAGAGGGCGACCGGCCACACUGGGACUGAGACACGGCCCAGACUCCUACGGGAGGCAGCAGUGGGGAAUCUUGCGCAAUGGGCGAAAGCCUGACGCAGCGACGCCGCGUGAGGGAUGACGGCCUGGUGU